rnacentral:rRNA from 1 species
UAGGGAAUCUUCGGCAAUGGGCGAAAGCCUGACCGAGCAACGCCGCGUGAGCGAUGAAGGCCUUCGGGUCGUAAAGCUCUGUUGUUAAGGAAGAACAAGUACGAGAGUAACUGCUCGUACCUUGACGGUACUUAACGAGAAAGCCACGGCUAACUACGUGCCAGCAGCCGCGGUAAUACGUAGGUGGCGAGCGUUAUCCGGAAUUAUUGGGCGUAAAGCGCGCGCAGGCGGUUCUUAAGUCUGAUGUGAAAGCCCACGGCUCAACCGUGGAGGGUCAUUGGAAACUGGGAAACUUGAGUGCAGAAGAGGAAAGCGGAAUUCCACGUGUAGCGGUGAAAUGCGUAGAGAUGUGGAGGAACACCAGUGGCGAAGGCGGCUUUCUGGUCUGUAACUGACGCUGAGGCGCGAAAGCGUGGGGAGCAACAGGAUUAGAUACCCUGGUAGUCCACGCCGUAAACGAUGAGUGCUAAGUGUUAGAGGGUUUCCGCCCUUUAGUGCUG